rnacentral:sRNA from 1 species
AAACAGCCGUGUCCUGUGAGCACCUGC